rnacentral:rRNA from 1 species
UGUUUGAUGUUCUAACGUGGACCCGUGAUCCGGGUUGCGGACAGUGUCUGGUGGGUAGUUUGACUGGGGCGGUCUCCUCCUAAAGAGUAACGGAGGAGCACGAAGGUUGGCUAAUCCUGGUCGGACAUCAGGAGGUUAGUGCAAUGGCAUAAGCCAGCUUGACUGCGAGCGUGACGGCGCGAGCAGGUGCGAAAGCAGGUCAUAGUGAUCCGGUGGUUCUGAAUGGAAGGGCCAUCGCUCAACGGAUAAAAGGUACUCCGGGGAUAACAGGCUGAUACCGCCCAAGAGUUCAUAUCGACGGCGGUGUUUGGCACCUCGAUGUCGGCUCAUCACAUCCUGGGGCUGAAGUAGGUCCCAAGGGUAUGGCUGUUCGCCAUUUAAAGUGGUACGCGAGCUGGGUUUAGAACGUCGUGAGACAGUUCGGUCCCUAUCUGCCGUGGGCGCUGGAGAACUGAGGGGGGCUGCUCCUAGUACGAGAGGACCGGAGUGGACGCAUCACUGGUGUUCGGGUUGUCAU